rnacentral:lncRNA from 1 species
UGAAAGUCAGGUCGGAUUAAGCCAUAGUACGGAAAAAACUAUGCUACCUGUGAGCCCCGUCCAAGGACGUUAAAAGAAGUCAGGCCAUUACAAAUGCCACAGCUUGAGUAAACUGUGCAGCCUGUAGCUCCACCUGAGAAGGUGUAAAAAAUCUGGGAGGCCACAAGCCAUGGAAGCUGUACGCAUGGCGUAGUGGACUAGCGGUUAGAGGAGACCCCUCCCUUACAAAUCGCAGCAACAACGGGGG